rnacentral:rRNA from 1 species
CCUACGGGAGGCAGCAGUAGGGAAUCUUCCACAAUGGACGAAAGUCUGAUGGAGCAACGCCGCGUGAGUGAAGAAGGGUUUCGGCUCGUAAAGCUCUGUUGGUAGUGAAGAAAGAUAGAGGUAGUAACUGGCCUUUAUUUGACGGUAAUUACUUAGAAAGUCACGGCUAACUACGUGGCAGCAGCCGCGGUAAUACGUAGGUGGCAAGCGUUGUCCGGAUUUAUUGGGCGUAAAGCGAGUGCAGGCGGUUCAAUAAGUCUGAUGUGAAAGCCUUCGGCUCAACCGGAGAAUUGCAUCAGAAACUGUUGAACUGGAGUGCAGAAGAGGAGAGGGGAACUCCAGGGGUAGCGGUGGAAUGCGUAGAUAUAUGGAAGAACACCAGUGGCGAAGGCGGCUCUCUGGUCUGCAACUGACGCUGAGGCUCGAAAGCAUGGGUAGCGAACAGGAUUAGAUACCCCUGUAGUC